UCGGGAGUAGCAAUACUGCCGGCGACCGGCGCAAGGGUGCGUAACGCGUGAGCAACAUGCCCGUAUCAGGGGGGAUAAUCCAUGGAAACGUGGUCUAAUACCCCAUAGUAAUUAUGUAAGGCAUCUUAUAUAAUUUAAAGCUUUGGUGGAUACGGAUUGGCUCGCGUGACAUUAGCUGGAUGGUAAGGUAACGGCUUACCAUGGCUACGAUGUCUAGGGGUUCUGAGAGGAAGGUCCCCCACACUGGAACUGAGACACGGUCCAGACUCCUACGGGAGGCAGCAGUGAGGAAUAUUGGACAAUGGAUGGAAAUCUGAUCCAGCCAUGCCGCGUGCAGGAAGAACCGGCCCUAUGGGUUGUAAACUGCUUUUGUAUGGGAGCAAUAAGGGCUACGUGUAGUCCGAUGAGAGUACCAUACGAAUAAGCACCGGCUAACUCCGUGCCAGCAGCAGC
rnacentral:rRNA from 1 species